GUCUUUACGAGGGUUUAUGUAAAGUCUAACCUGCCCAAUGAUGUAAAAUUUAAUGGCCGCGGUAUUUUGACUGUGCGAAGGUAGCAUAAUAAUUAGUCUUUUAAUUGAGGACUGGAAUGAAAGGUUGAACAAAAAGCUGGCUGUCUCUGAGCUAAAAUUUGAAUUUAACUUUUAAGUGAAAAGGCUUAAAUAAGUUAAGGGGACGAUAAGACCCUAUAAAUCUUCAUAUCUAAAUGUAUAAAGUGAAAAAAUAAAAAAACUUUUACUUAAUGUUAGUAGAUAUUUUGUUGGGGCGACAAAAGCAUAAAAUGUAACUGCUUUACAAUUGGCUGUUAAAUGAUAUUUAAUUGAGAGAUCCUUUUAUAAAGAUAAUAGUUUAAGUUACUUUAGGGAUAACAGCGUAAUUUUUUCUGAGAGUCCAUAUCGAGGAAAAAGUUUGCGACCUCGAUGUUGAAUUAAAGAUCCUUUGUGGUGCAGAAAUUACAAAAGGAGGUCUGUUCGACCUUUACAUCUUUACAUGAUUUGAGUUCAGACCGGCGUGAG
rnacentral:rRNA from 1 species